AUGCAGUCGAACGGGAAGCGGCGCUUAUCACUUCGGUGGUGUAGCGCUGUGGAGAGUGGCGAACGGGUGCGUAACACGUAGGUAACCUGCCCUGAAAGGGGGGAUAACCACGGGAAACUGUGGCUAAUACCGCAUAAUUUCGCCGUGACGGUGGUUGCGGUGAGGAAAGUUCAGGCGAUUUGGGAGGGGCCUGCGGUCGAUUAGCUGGUUGGUGGGGUAAAGGCCCACCAAGGCGAUGAUCGAUAGCUGUUCUGAGAGGAAGACCAGCCACACGGGAACUGAGACACGGUUCCGACUCCUACGGGGGGCAGCCGUGAGGAAUAUUGCGCAAUGGGGGGAACCCUGACGCAGCAACGCCGCGUGGAGGACGAAGGUUUUCGGAUUGUAAACUCCUUAACUGGGGGAAGAGAGAGGACGGUACCCCAGGACGAAGACACGGCUAACUAGGUGCCAGCAGCCGCGGUAAUACCUAGGUGUCGAGCGUUAUCCGGAAUUACUGGGCGUAAAGGGUGCGCAGGCGGCGAUACAAGUCUGGCGUGAAAGCUUCUGGCUUAACUGGGAGAGGACGUUAGAAACUGUAUGGCUAGAGUGAAUGAGAGGGGGGCGGAAAUCCCGGUGUAGUGGUGGAAUGCGUAGAUAUCGGGAAGAACACCAGAGGCGAAGGCGGCCUCCUGGCAUUUUACUGACGCUGAGGCACGAAAGCGUGGGUAGCGAACGGGAUUAGAUACCCCGGUAGUCCACGCUGUAAACGAUGUGAACGAGGUGUGGGCGGUGUAGAAGCCGUCUGUGCCGGAGCAAACGCGAUAAGUUCACCGCCUGGGGAGUACGGUCGCAAGGCUAAAACUCAAAGGAAUUGACGGGGGGCCCGCACAAGCAGCGGAGCGUGUGGGUUUAAUUCGAUGCAACGCGAAGAACCUUACCUGGGCUUGACAUGUACGUAGUAGUGAAGGGAAACCGGAACGAGCC
rnacentral:rRNA from 1 species